AUUGAACGCUGGCGGCAUGCUUUACACAUGCAAGUCGGACGGCAGCACAGAGAAGCUUGCUUCUUGGGUGGCGAGUGGCGAACGGGUGAGUAAUAUAUCGGAACGUACCGAGUAAUGGGGGAUAACUAAUCGAAAGAUUAGCUAAUACCGCAUAUUCUCUGAGGAGGAAAGCAGGGGACCUUCGGGCCUUGCGUUAUUCGAGCGGCCGAUAUCUGAUUAGCUAGUUGGUGGGGUAAAGGCCUACCAAGGCGACGAUCAGUAGCGGGUCUGAGAGGAUGAUCCGCCACACUGGGACUGAGACACGGCCCAGACUCCUACGGGAGGCAGCAGUGGGGAAUUUUGUACAAUGGGCGCAAGCCUGAUCCAGCCAUGCCGCGUGUCUGAAGAAGGCCUUCGGGUUGUAAAGGACUUUUGUCAGGGAAGAAAAGGCUGUUGCUAAUAUCGACAGCUGAUGACGGUACCUGAAGAAUAAGCACCGGCUAACUACGUG
rnacentral:rRNA from 1 species